UGGGGAAUAUUGCACAAUGGGCGCAAGCCUGAUGCAGCAACGCCGCGUGAGGGACGACGGCCUUCGGGUUGUAAACCUCUUUUGGCAGGGAAGAAGCGAAAGUGACGGUACCUGCAGAAAAAGCACCGGCUAACUACGUGCCAGCAGCCGCGGUGAUACGUAGGGUGCAAGCGUUGUCCGGAAUUAUUGGGCGUAAAGAGCUCGUAGGCGGUUUGUCGCGUCUGCUGUGAAAACCCGAGGCUCAACCUCGGGCCUGCAGUGGGUACGGGCAUACUAGAGUGCGGUAGGGGAGAUUGGAAUUCCUGGUGUAGCGGUGGAAUGCGCAGAUAUCAGGAGGAACACCGAUGGCGAAGGCAGAUCUCUGGGCCGUAACUGACGCUGAGGAGCGAAAGCAUGGGGAGCGAACA
rnacentral:rRNA from 1 species